GUGACGCAUUUGUGCAAUGGACUGGUUGUGCCGAAUGCUCACCAAAUGCUGCGGCUAGGUAAGCAGAUUAGGCUUAGCAGAACCGACUGAAAAGUGCAUUUGAUAUUUUCUUGAGGGACUGUUGUCGAAACACAGGUUCUUCACUACAAACAAAGAUGGCAUUAUCGCUGGUUUCAUGGAUUGAAGACACCCCUCAUCCACAUCACAAAUUUAGCACAUAUCCUUUGGAACAUCUGCAACACUGUCGCUAGCGGUAACUAAUAUGUCUCUUAGCACAAGUUGUAUUACGAUUGGGGAAGGUCAGCUUCGCACACGCUACCAAAGAUUAUUUCAGAAAUCGAGGGUUAUGUUUUUCUUCUCGCGAAUAGACGCUCUGAAAAAUUAUUCAAUUCUGAUUGGAAUUGUGGGAGCCUGGAGUGGUGGGUCUCAAUUCGGAGAUCGGUAGAGGAGGAAUGGCGCAGAAGUAGAGGCAACUUGUAUCUAGCCCGGUGACCGGAGACCUCGAACUGCGGCGAAGAUUGGCAGCUGGCCUGCAAGCCUGAAUGCAAACCAGCGACCGCGAGAUGGAAUGGGCGGCAGCUGCCGACUGAAGCAGGAAUGACCGAGAGUACCUGGAGAAUCGCGGUGACUGAUAAGUACAGGGACGGUCGCAGGAGACUUUGCUUGCAGAACACCCUGCGUCCUUCAUUUUACGACGCGAAUUUCUCCAUGCUCGCCUUGGCAGUGAUCUCGUCCUGCGAUGCUCCAUGUUUUGGCCCGGAAUAUGCCGGGAUUGGUCAAGAACUGCGUCAAUUUGAUGCUCCUGGGCCCUUCUUCUCUGUCUUUGGGAUUGCUUUUAUCUUUUUUUGGGUCGGACGGGGGGCCGCCUUGGCAACCCACCCCCCGCACCGUCCCCUCUCCAGUUUACCGUUAAGAGAAAUUUGUAGCUGCUGAAUGCGGCGUGCAAUUUGCGAAGAGUCAGUGUCGUGUGGGUCAGAGUGCCUGAAUCAAGUGCAACUUCUCAUUUGCUUGGAGUGGAUUGUAAGGAUUGGGCAGGAUUUCACGUUACCUGUUGCUAAGGGGAGUGAUUUUUGGUGUUUUUUAUGCCAUUCCUAGUGACGAGGGCCGCGGUUGUUGCUGCAAAUUGACGCCGAUGUGGAUUUACUCUAUCGGAUCCAACCGAGAAAGGGAAAGCGUAAGAUGAGAUGCGGAUUGCUUUGUAGGCGCUUCCGUGCUUUCGAGUCGUUGCUGCGAGACUUCAGUUAGGUUGCACGUCGUGCUUUUUUUCCAGAACAGUUUGGUCGGGAACUAGAACGGAGAUAUGACGGGAUCGGGGAUUCACUGAGAAGAAGGGAGCGGAAGAGUCUAAUUGUUUUGAUCUUCCUCGCCCUGAUUUGUAACACGUUCCAUCUGGUGCGGCUUCUUUCUCUCUGAAUUUGAGAUACAUUUCACCAACAGCAAGUGCCCAAUAUCCUCUCGUAUUUGGGGUUGUGACGAUUGUAUGUGCUGGACGUGAAAGGAAAGGCAUUGCGGGAGGUUAAUUCUUGAAGAGAGACCCCUGCUUGAAAGUCGCCCACAGCCAUGGCGGACUGGGAGUGGCAGGAUGCUGUGCAGUCUCUUAUCAUAGGUAUUGUUUUUGCUUAUAUGUGUGGAAGGCUCUUCACACUUAUAUCAUCUAUUCGUGAUCAGAAAUUUCGACUUGAGCGGGGCGGAGAGAACGCAGCGGCUCCUCUCUUUACCACCACCUUUGACGAACAGGAAUAUGCUCCUGCAGCUGAGCUUAAUGUUCCUUAUGCCCCCAUUGAGGAGGAAUUAGAUGCCUUCGAUGGAGGGGACGAACAAGUGGCUCAUGGCUAUGACUCAUCCUCUUCGUCCUCUGAUUCUGACUACGGUAUCGAACGUUCCCACUAUCUUCUCGCUACCGAUUCUCCAUCGUAUUCGAAGAUUACAUCUGAGACUGAUGGGGACCAAGCCAAAAAUAUAAUCGAGGACACGACAUCCGCUCAGAAAUUGGAUGACAGAGUUGAUGUCUCUGACAAGGACUCUUCGAAAGUCCUAGCUGAUGAGGAGCGUGAGGAUGUGGCUGAAGAAAUUGAGGAAGGGAAUGUAACAGAUGAUUGGGAAGGUGUGGAAAGUACUGAGCUGGAGGAGCUUUUUGGAGCUGCUUCUACGUAUGUUGCAUCUGUGAUUAAUGUACCAGGUGCUAAGUCUUCAAGGGAAGAGAUGCUUCAGUUGUAUGCAUACUACAAAAUAGCCACUGAAGGGCCUUGCUCUACCCCUCAGCCAUCAGCUUUUCAACCCACUGCCCGUGCUAAAUGGAUUGCGUGGCAGAAGCUUGGAAAUAUGUCUCAAGAGGAGGCUAUGCAAAAAUAUGUUGCUGUUUUGACUGCAAUUGAUCCCACUUGGCAUCAGAGUCAUCAAAAGGGUAAAGAUUCAUCUGUAGAAGCAACAGAGGAGCUAGAGGGAGCCUUCUUACACUCUAGCAGUAAGAAUAUGAACCCGGGUCCAGCUUUUAGCUCCCUGGCCGCAACUGAUGAUGUUGAAGGGACAAGUACCAUGGAUGCACUUCAUACAUGUGCUAGAGAUGGAGAUUUGCAAGGUCUUUCCAAGCUUCUGGAACAAGGCCGUUCUAUUGAUGUGAAGGUAUGCUUGUCAUGAAUGCAGACAGUGAUGGUCUUACACCUUUGAUUUGGGCAGUAGACCGUGGCAAUGUGAGUGCUAUGGAGGUUCUUGUAGCCAAGGGUGCGGAAAUUGAUACUAAGGAUGUAGAGGGGCAGACAGCAUUACAUCACGCGAUACUUAGCAAUCAGGAAGAGGUUGCGAAGUACCUAUUUGAGCAUGGAGCUAACAUCAACAUAGCUGACAAAGACGGCAACACUCCACUUAGUCAGUGUCCUGCUCACUGGCAGUGGUUGCAGCGUACUACAGGCUAGUGUGGCACUUUUCAGUGUGACACAACUCGAUUCCAUCUUUGAAUCAUCUCUGUUGGAUAGCGUCUAUGUACGGAAGAUGAAACCUAGAUUUUCCUUUCCUCCGUCCUACUGUUGAGCGUAGUAGCGUCAUUCUUGUAAGUUUUGCUGCUUAACUUCUCGACGUAAAGUAUUUCCUUCUAAAUCAAAGGAAAGUUUGCAGAUAAUGUAUUGUUAUUUAUAUGACAGUUUGUUGUGUAACAGUCCUAUCGAUGUAGUACUUUUUUCUUACAAUGCUGGUGACGAGUUUGAUUAUACUCAUAAUGUUUUACUACUCCUUGUUAGGGACAGUCAUAAUCAGGACAAUAUUAUUUUUAAUUAGUGAUGUUUUAUUGUGUGUA